rnacentral:lncRNA from 1 species
CGAAACCAAAUCAUAAUGAACUAAUGAAGGAAAUAACAUAAUAGAGCAAUAUAUUCUUACCAACGCGACCAUAUGUUCCUUCAGGGAUAGCAAUGCUUAGAUCAGUGGGAAUCAACGCUUUUCCUCUGGCUGGCACCUUUGUAUCCGUUGCACUGUGCCAUAAAAAAAUUUUUUUUUUUAAAGUCCAUCAAAUUUGUUGUAUAUCGACUGCGAUUUCCAUUAUAGAGAAUGGCUUGAGGAGUUACCUUGACAGAUCGUAGCCAGCGGCGAGAGGAGAGCCUCUUGACGGCAACACGGCUUUUUCAGAAAGCUUUUUGACUUUCAAGAGGGAGGCUGAACCAUGGGUAACUUCAUGUACUCCAUUUUG